rnacentral:rRNA from 1 species
GCAGUCGAAGAACACUUUAAUUGAUUUCUUCGGAAUGAAGUUUUUGUGACUGAGUGGCGGACGGGUGAGUAACGCGUGGGUAACCUGCCUCAUACAGGGGGAUAACAGUUGGAAACGACUGCUAAUACCGCAUAAGCGCACAGGAUUGCAUGAUCCAGUGUGAAAAACUCCGGUGGUAUGAGAUGGACCCGCGUCUGAUUAGCCAGUUGGCGGGGUAACGGCCCACCAAAGCGACGAUCAGUAGCCGACCUGAGAGGGUGACCGGCCACAUUGGGACUGAGACACGGCCCAAACUCCUACGGGAGGCAGCAGUGGGGAAUAUUGCACAAUGGGGGAAACCCUGAUGCAGCGACGCCGCGUGAGCGAAGAAGUAUUUCGGUAUGUAAAGCUCUAUCAGCAGGGAAGAAGAAUGACGGUACCUGACUAAGAAGCACCGGCUAAAUACGUGCCAGCAGCCGCGGUAAUACGUAUGGUGCAAGCGUUAUCCGGAUUUACUGGGUGUAAAGGGAGCGCAGGCGGUACGGCAAGUCUGAUGUGAAAUCCCGGGGCUCAACCCCGGUACUGCAUUGGAAACUGUCGGACUAGAGUGUCGGAGGGGUAAGUGGAAUUCCUAGUGUAGCGGUGAAAUGCGUAGAUAUUAGGAGGAACACCAGUGGCGAAGGCGGCUUACUGGACGAUUACUGACGCUGAGGCUCGAAAGCGUGGGGAGCAAACAGGAUUAGAUACCCUGGUAGUCCACGCCGUANACGAUGAAUACU